GGUGAACGCUGGCGGCGUGCCUAAUACAUGCAAGUCGAGCGAACAGACGAGGAGCUUGCUCCUCUGACGUUAGCGGCGGACGGGUGAGUAACACGUGGAUAACCUACCUAUAAGACUGGGAUAACUUCGGGAAACCGGAGCUAAUACCGGAUAAUAUAUUGAACCGCAUGGUUCAAUAGUGAAAGACGGUUUUGCUGUCACUUAUAGAUGGAUCCGCGCCGCAUUAGCUAGUUGGUAAGGUAACGGCUUACCAAGGCAACGAUGCGUAGCCGACCUGAGAGGGUGAUCGGCCACACUGGAACCGAGACACGGUCCAGACUCCUACGGGAGGCAGCAGUAGGGAAUCUUCCGCAAAGGGCGAAAGCCUGACGGAGCAACGCCGCGUGAGUGAUGAAGGUCUUCGGAUCGUAAAACUCUGUUAUUAGGGAAGAACAAAUGUGUAAGUAACUAUGCACGUCUUGACGGUACCUAAUCAGAAAGCCACGGCUAACUACGUG
rnacentral:rRNA from 1 species